rnacentral:rRNA from 1 species
GACGAACGCUGGCGGCGUGCCUAAUACAUGCAAGUAGAACGCUGAAGAGAGGAGCUUGCUCUUCUUGGAUGAGUUGCGCACGGGUGAGUAACGCGUAGGUCACCUGCCUGGUAGCGGGGGAUAACUAUUGGAAACGAUAGCUAAUACCGCAUAAAAUGGAUUAUCGCAUGAUAAUCCAUUGAAAGGUGCAAAUGCAUCACUAACAGAUGGACCUGCGUUGUAUUAGCUAGGUGGUGGGGUAACGGCUCACCAAGGCGACGAUACAUAGCCGACCUGAGAGGGUGAUCGGCCGCACUGGGACUGAGACACGGCCCAGACGCCUACGGAAGGCAGCAGUAGGGAUACGGCGGCAAGGGACGGAAGUCUGACCGAGCAACGCCGAGUGAGGAAAGAAGGUUGUCGGAUCGGAGAGCUCUGUUGUAAGAGAAGAACGAGUGUGAGAGUGGAAAGUUCACACUGUGACGGUAUCUGACCAGAAAGGGACGGCUAACUACGUG